UGAGGAAUAUUGGUCAAUGGGCGGGAGCCUGAACCAGCCAAGUCGCGUGAGGGAAGACGGUCCUAUGGAUUGUAAACCUCUUUUGUCGGGGAGCAAAGAGGCCACGUGUGGUCAAAAGCGAGAGUACCCGAAGAAAAAGCAUCGGCUAACUCCGUCGCC
rnacentral:rRNA from 1 species